rnacentral:autocatalytically_spliced_intron from 1 species
UAAUCAUGCAGAGCUGAAGAGCGGGCCUGCAAAGGGUCACCCGCUAGUCCCGAGCCCGACUCGGGGCGACACCCUCAAAUUGCCUGGAACUCCCGCCAAGCCCCUGGUACCGUUGUCAAUGGGAAACUGUUGAUUACACUUCGAUGAAAGUCGAAGGCAUGGUAAAAAUCCAGUGGGAUAGGGAUGAUGGGCAGCCAAGCCCUAAGGGGGCCUACUACGGUAGGUCUCUAUGGGUGCAGUUCACAGACUAAAUGUGGGUGGGCUUGACUGAUACCCUAUCAGAGUUGGGCAAUCACCUUUUCUGUUUGCUUGAAACUCUGAGAACAUCAGUAAAGUUUAAGAUAUAGUCGGCCCCCUCCGAGAGGAGAGCCCUUGGGAGGAUUCUGUUGUUUGCAUCAGAUGAGAGCCCUUGGGAAACGGUGUAAUACUCGAUGGUGAAAGCCUCCGAGGGCGUCUGAGCCUACCGUUUGGAUCCAUGCG